GCGCUUGUAGCUCAGUUGGAUUAGAGCGGAGCCCUGCGGAGGCUCAGGUCGUGGGUUCGAGCCCCGCCAAGCGCGCCA
rnacentral:tRNA from 2 species